rnacentral:rRNA from 1 species
CUAGCAUAUCAAUAAGCGGAGGAAAAGAAACCAACAGGGAUUGCCUCAGUAACGGCGAGUGAAGCGGCAACAGCUCAAAUUUGAAAUCUGGCGUCCUUUGGGCGUCCGAGUUGUAAUUUGAAGAGGGUGCUUUGGCGUUGACGGCGGUCUAAGUCCCUUUGGAACAGGGCAUCACAGAGGGUGAGAAUCCCGUAUGUGGCCGCAAGCCUUCGCCGUGUAAAGCCCCUUUCGACGAGUCGAGUUGUUUGGGAAUGCAGCUCUAAAUGGGAGGUAAAUAUCUUCUAAAGCUAAAUACCGGCCAGAGACCGAUAGCGCACAAGUAGAGUGAUCGAAAGAUGAAAAGCACUUUGGAAAGAGAGUCAAACAGCACGUGAAAUUGUUGAAAGGGAAGCGCUUGCAGCCAGACUUGCUCGCAGUUGCUCAUCCGGGCUCUCGCCCGGUGCACUCUUCUGCGGGCAGGCCAGCAUCAGUUUGGGCAGCCGGAUAAAGACCUCUGUCACGUAUCUUCCUUCGGGAAGACCUUAUAGGGGAGGUGUAAUGCGGCUAGCCCGGACUGAGGUCCGCGCAUUUGCUAGGAUGCUGGCGUAAUGGCUGUAAGCGGCCCGUCUUGAAACACGGACCAAGGAGUCUAACAUCUAUGCGAGUGUUUGGGUGUCAAGCCCGGGCGCGCAAUGAAAGUGAACGGAGGUGGGAACCCUCUCGGGGGUGCACCAUCGACCGAUCCUGAUGUCUUCGGAUGGAUUUGAGUAAGAGCAUAGCUGUUGGGACCCGAAAGAUGGUGAACUAUGCUUGAAUAGGGUGAAGCCAGAGGAAACUCUGGUGGAGGCUCGCAGCGGUUCUGACGUGCAAAUCGAUCGUCAAAUUUGGGCAUAGGGGCGAAAGACUAAUCGAACUAUCUAGUAGCUGGUUCCUGCGAGCU